rnacentral:rRNA from 1 species
CGGCUCAUGACGGUACCUGAAGAAUAAGCACCGGCUAACUACGUGCCAGCAGCCGCGGUAAUACGUAGGGUGCAAGCGUUAAUCGGAAUUACUGGGCGUAAAGCGUGCGCAGGCGGUUUUGUAAGACUGUCGUGAAAUCCCCGGGCUCAACCUGGGAAUGGCGAUGGUGACUGCAAGGCUAGAGUUUGGCAGAGGGGGGUAGAAUUCCACGUGUAGCAGUGAAAUGCGUAGAUAUGUGGAGGAACACCGAUGGCGAAGGCAGCCCCCUGGGUCAAAACUGACGCUCAUGCACGAAAGCGUGGGGAGCAAACAGGAUUAGAUACCCUGGUAGUCCACGCCCU